rnacentral:rRNA from 1 species
CACGUAGGGUGCGAGCGUUGUCCGGAAUUAUUGGGCGUAAAGAGCUCGUAGGCGGUGUGUCGCGUCGGCCGUGAAAACCUGCAGCUUAACUGUGGGCUUGCGGUCGAUACGGGCAGGCUGGAGUUCGGUAGGGGAGACUGGAAUUCCUGGUGUAGCGGUGAAAUGCGCAGAUAUCAGGAGGAACACCGGUGGCGAAGGCGGGUCUCUGGGCCGAUACUGACGCUGAGGAGCGAAAGCGUGGGGGAGCGAACAGG